UCAGACGAUGCGUCAUGCAUAUCAAUAAGCGGAGGAAAAGAAACUAACAAGGAUUCCCCUAGUAACGGCGAGUGAAGCGGGAAGAGCUCAAAUUUGAAAUCUUAAAGGGUUUCCCUUUACGAAUUGUAGUUUAAAGAAGUGUUUUCUGUUGAGGUUUUGGUAAAAGGUUCUUUGGAAUAGGACAUCAUAGAGGGUGAGAAUCCCGUAUUUGACCUUUACUUUCAACUUUGUGAUACACUUUCAAAGAGUCGGAUUGUUUGGGAAUGCAGUCCAAAAUGGGUGGUAAAUUUCAUCUAAAGCUAAAUAUUGGCGAGAGGACCGAUAGCGAACAAGUACCGUGAGGGAAAGAUGAAAAGAACUUUGAAAAGAGAGUUAAACAGUACGUGAAAUUGUCAAAAGGGAAGCGUUUGACACCAGUGUUGUUUUUCUGAAAAUCAAUUAAAGAACUGUUUAUGCUAAGUUGUUUAGACUUUAUCAGCUAACUGUUUAGUUUUGAGCUUUUCUUUAAUGCACUUUUCAGUUAACAAGUCAACAUCAAUUUCUUUUGCUGUAAAAAAGCUUGAGGAAGGUGGCUUGAGAUUCGUCUUAAGUGUUUAUAGCCUCUUGCCUAUGCAGUCGGAGAGAUUGAGGUCUGCAGCGUAGAUCCUUCGGGCUAAAUGCAUUUGUGCUAAGUUAUAGCAUUUUAUAGACAACUUGUUGACUAUGAUUUGUCUUGUAGCUUACUCGCUUAUGUUAUUUUACCUACGCUUAGGAUGUUGAAUCUGUGCGAGACUAC
rnacentral:rRNA from 1 species